AACGAACGCUGGCGGCAUGCCUAACACAUGCAAGUCGAACGAGACCUUCGGGUCUAGUGGCGCACGGGUGCGUAACGCGUGGGAACCUGCCCUUAGGUUCGGAAUAACUCCCCGAAAGGGGUGCUAAUACCGGAUAAUGUCUUCGGACCAAAGAUUUAUCGCCUUUGGAUGGGCCCGCGUUGGAUUAGCUAGUUGGUAGGGUAAAAGCCUACCAAGGCGACGAUCCAUAGCUGGUCUGAGAGGAUGAUCAGCCACACUGGGACUGAGACACGGCCCAGACUCCUACGGGAGGCAGCAGUGGGGAAUAUUGGACAAUGGGCGAAAGCCUGAUCCAGCAAUGCCGCGUGAGUGAUGAAGGCCUUAGGGCUGUAAAGCUCUUUUACCCGGGAUGAUAAUGACAGUACCGGGAGAAUAAGCUCCGGCUAACUCCAUG
rnacentral:rRNA from 1 species